rnacentral:rRNA from 1 species
UGGGGAAUAUUGCACAAUGGGCGCAAGCCCGAUGCAGCCAUGCCGCGUGUAUGAAGAAGGCCUUUGGGUUGUAAAGUACUUUCAGCGGGGAGGAAGGGAGUAAAGUUAAUACCUUUGCUCAUGGACGCUACCCGCAGAAGAAGCACCGGCUAACUCCGUGCCAGCAGCCGGGGUAAUACGGAGGGUGCAAGCGUUAAUCGGAAUUACUGGGCGUAAAGAGCACGCAGGCGGUUUGUUAAGUCAGAUGUGAAAUCCCCGGGCUCAACCUGGGAACUGCCUCUGAUACUGGCAAGCUUGAGUCUCGUAGAGGGGGGUAGAAUUCCAGGUGUAGCGGUGAAAUGCGUAGAGAUCUGGAGGAAUACCGGUGGCGAAGGCGGCCCCCUGGACGAAGACUGACGCUCAGGUGCGAACGCGUGGGGAGCAAACAGG